rnacentral:rRNA from 2 species
GUCUAAGUAUAAGCAACUAUACGGUGAAACUGCGAAUGGCUCAUUAAAUCAGUUAUCGUUUAUUUGAUAGUACCUUACUACAUGGAUACCUGUGGUAAUUCUAGAGCUAAUACAUGCUAAAAACCUCGACUUCGGAAGGGGUGUAUUUAUUAGAUAAAAAACCAAUGCCCUUCGGGGCUCCUUGGUGAAUCAUAAUAACUAAACGAAUCGCAUGGCCUUGCGCCGGCGAUGGUUCAUUCAAAUUUCUGCCCUAUCAACUUUCGAUGGUAGGAUAGUGGCCUACCAUGGUAGCAACGGGUAACGGGGAAUUAGGGUUCUAUUCCGGAGAGGGAGCCUGAGAAACGGCUACCACAUCCAAGGAAGGCAGCAGGCGCGCAAAUUACCCAAUCCCGAUACGGGGAGGUAGUGACAAUAAAUACUGAUACAGGGCUCUUUUGGGUCUUGUAAUUGGAAUGAGUACAAUUUAAAUCCCUUAACGAGGAACAAUUGGAGGGCAAGU